GUACAUUUCUUUUCUUCAGUGCUGAAAUUCCUAGCAAGGAUAGUUCAUUUGCUCCUGUGAUGGACUUCCACUGCUAAGGUCACUAAACUCUUCCAUGGUCCAUCAGUAUCCUCUGGAGCAGAGGUAUUCUGGGAGGGAGUUUCUUAAAUUUUUAGUGUGAGAACAUGACUUCAGACAGCUUGCUGGCUCAGCUGGACUUCUGUGAAGAUACGAUGACUCCAUUUAUGGGCUUCUUGAAGAAUGAUUUGGGAAUAAAAAGGCUCAGCAAACCCAUACAACAUUAA